AACGAACGCUGGCGGCAUGCCUAACACAUGCAAGUCGAACGAAGCCUUCGGGCUUAGUGGCGCACGGGUGCGUAACGCGUGGGAAUCUGCCCUUGGGUUCGGAAUAACAGUUAGAAAUGACUGCUAAUACCGAAUGAUGUCUUCGGACCAAAGAUUUAUCGCCCAAGGAUGAGCCCGCGUCGGAUUAGCUAGUUGGUGAGGUAAAGGCUCACCAAGGCGACGAUCCGUAGCUGGUCUGAGAGGAUGAUCAGCCACACUGGGACUGGGACACGGCCCAGACUCCUACGGGAGGCAGCAGUGGGGAAUAUUGGACGAAUGGCGAAGCCUGAUCCAGCAAUGCCGCGUGAGUGAUGAAGGCCUUAGGGUUUGGUUAAAGGACUCUUUUUACCCCGGGUAACGUGA
rnacentral:rRNA from 1 species